AUUGAACGCUGGCGGCAUGCUUUACACAUGCAAGUCGAACGGCAGCGCGGGCUUCGGCCUGGCGGCGAGUGGCGAACGGGUGAGUAAUACAUCGGAACGUGCCCAGUAGUGGGGGAUAGCUCGGCGAAAGCCGGAUUAAUACCGCAUACGACCUGAGGGUGAAAGCGGGGGAUCUUCGGACCUCGCGCUAUUGGAGCGGCCGAUGGCAGAUUAGCUAGUUGGUGGGGUAAAGGCCUACCAAGGCGACGAUCUGUAGCUGGUCUGAGAGGACGACCAGCCACACUGGAACUGAGACACGGCCCAGACUCCUACGGGAGGCAGCAGUGGGGAAUUUUGGACAAUGGGCGGAAGCCUGAUCCAGCAAUGCCGCGUGGAGGAAGAAGGCCUUCGGGUUGGAAAGCACUUUUGGCGGGAACGAAAAGGACUGUGCCAAUACCCCGGUUCGAUGACGGUACCCGCAGAAUAAGCACCGGCUAACUACGUG
rnacentral:rRNA from 1 species